CCAAGGCCUGAGCAUGCUUCAGCAAAGAUGAGAACUAUUCAAUAGAAUUUGGAAGUGAGAGGGCUUCAGAAGUCAUUAUAGGGUAUCAGAAGAGGAGAUGACCUUGAUCUAACUCCCCUGCAAGUCCAAUGAACAUCUUCAGUCCAUAGAUGCUCUAAAGAAGAUGAAGAACUCCAUUAGUUCUAAUUUGCUAUGCAAUUCUGCAUAAUGGUUUGAAAGAUGUAAAAGACUGACUGUCUUUGCAAACUAAUUAUUAAUAC
rnacentral:lncRNA from 1 species